rnacentral:rRNA from 1 species
AUUGAACGCUGGCGGCAGGCCUAACACAUGCAAGUCGAACGAGUGGCGGACGGGUGAGUAAUGUCUGGGAAACUGCCUGAUGGAGGGGGAUAACUACUGGAAACGGUAGCUAAUACCGCAUACCAUCAGAUGUGCCCAGGUGGGAUUAGCUUGUUGGUGGGGUAACGGCUCACAAAGGCGACGAUCCCUAGCUGGUCUGAGAGGAUGACCAGCAACACGGGAACUGAGCCACGGUCCAGCCUCCUACGGGGGGAAGCAGUGGGGAAUAUUGCACAAUGGGCACAAGCCUGAUGCGUCAAUGCGGCGUGUAUGAAGAAGGCCUUCGGGGUGUAAAGUACUUUCAGCGGGGAGACGUUACCCGCAGAAGAAGCACCGGCUAACUCCGUGCCAGCAGCCGCGGUAAUAC